UAGGGCGGAGAAACGAUAGAUAGCUUGCUAUCAGGCGUCGAGCGGCGGACGGGUGAUUAAUACUUAGGAAUCUACCUAGUAGUGGGGGAUAGCUCGGGGAAACUCAAAUUAAUACCGCAUACGUCCUACGGGAAAAAGCAGGGGAUCAUUAAACCUUGCGCUAUUAAAUGACCCUAAGUCGGAUUACCUAGAUGGGGGGGUAAAGGCCUACCAGGGCGACAAUCUGUAGCUGGUCUGAAAGGAUGAUCACCCACACCGGGACUGAAACACGGCCCGGACUCCUACGGGAGGCAGCAGUGGGGAAUAUUGGACAAUGGGGGGAACCCUGAUCCACCCAUGCCGCGUGUGUGAAAAAGGCCUUUUGGUUGUAAAGCACUUUAAGCAGUGAAAAAAACUCUUCGGUUAAUACCCGGGGACGAUGACUUUACCUGCAAAAUAAGCACCGGCUAACUCUGUGCCACCACCCGCGGUAAUACAGAGGGUGCAAGCGUUAAUCGGAAUUACUGGGCGUAAAGCGAGCGUAGGUGGCUUGAUAAGUCAAAUGUGAAAUCCCCGGGCUUAACCUGGGAACUGCAUCUGAAACUGUUAGGCUAGAGUAGGUGAGAGGGAAGUAAAAUUUCAGGUGUAGCGGUGAAAUGCGUAGAGAUCUGAAGGAAUACCGAUGGCGAAGGCAGCUUCCUGGCAUCAUACUGACACUGAGGCUCGAAAGCGUGGGUAGCAAACAGGAUUAGAUACCCUGGUAGUCCACGCCGUAAACGAUGUCUACUAGUCGUUGGGUCCCUUGAGGACUUAGUGACGCAGCUAACGCAAUAAGUAGACCGCCUGGGGAGUACGGCCGCAAGGUUAAAACUCAAAUGAAUUUGACGGGGCCCGCACAAGCGUGAGCAUGUG
rnacentral:rRNA from 1 species